UCCCCUAGUACUGCGAGUGAAGCGGGAAAAGCUCAAAUUUAAAAUCUGGCGGUCUUUGGCCGUCCGAAUUGUAGUCUGGAGAAGUGCUUUCCGCGCUGGACCGUGUAUAAGUCUCUUGGAACAGAGCGUCAUAGAGGGUGAGAAUCCCGUCUUUGACACGGACUACCAGUGCUUUGUGAUGCGCUCUCAAAGAGUCGAGUUGUUUGGGAAUGCAGCUCAAAAUGGGUGGUGAAUUCCAUCUAAAGCUAAAUAUUGGCGAGAGACCGAUAGCGAACAAGUACCGUGAGGGAAAGAUGAAAAGCACUUUGGAAAGAGAGUUAAACAGUACGUGAAAUUGCUGAAAGGGAAACGCUUGAAGUCAGUCGCGUUGUCCGGAACUCAGCCUUGCUUUUGCUUGGUGCACUUUUCGGAUAACGGGUCAGCAUCGAUUUUGACCGUCGGAAAAGGGCUAGGGUAAUGUGGCACUUUCGGGUGUGUUAUAAACUCUAGUCGCAUACGGCGGUUGUGAUCGAGGAACGCAGCGCGCCGUAAGGCAGGGGUUCGCCCACUUUCGCGCUUAGGAUGCUGGCAUAAUGGCUUUAAACGACCCGUCUUGAAACACGGACCAAGGAGUCUAACAUACCUGCGAGUGUUUGGGUGGAAAACCCGAGCGCGUAAUGAAAGUGAAAGUUGAGACCUCUGUCGUGGAGGGCAUCGACGCCCGGACCUGACGUUCUCUGACGGAUCCGCGGUAGAGCAUGUAUGUUGGGACCCGAAAGAUGGUGAACUAUGCCUUGAAUAGGGUGAAGCCAGAGGAAACU
rnacentral:rRNA from 1 species